UAGUCCACGCCGUAAACGAUGAUUACUCGAAGUAUGCGAUAUGACAGUAUGCUUCCAAGCGAAAGUGAUAAGUAAUCCACCUGGGAAGUACGCCGGCAACGGUGAAACUCAAAGGAAUUGACGGGGGCCCGCACAAGCGGAGGAACAUGUGGUUUAAUUCGAUGAUACGCGAGGAACCUUACCCGGGAUUGAAAUGUAUAUGAGCCUCUUUGGAAACAGAGAGGGAUCUCUUCGGAGACAUAUAUGU
rnacentral:rRNA from 1 species